GUGUCCCCUGGAGUUCCCUCGACCACUUCACUGGGGCUAUUUUAAGACCUUUAACAGAGGAAAAUUCUUGCCCUGCUGAAGUGUUUGGGGGAACUCUGGUUGACAG
rfam:Corchorus olitorius cultivar O-4 contig20056, whole genome shotgun sequence.